UGUGUUAGGGGAAAAACCCUAAGUCAUAUAUCCACAGAGGCGCUCGGCCGAAGAGCGCCGACCGGAAAGCUGCUCGGCCAAAGGAUGCCGACCAGGAAGGCGCUCGACUAGAGGGCGUCGACCAGAGUGCGCGCCAAGAGGUGCCCAACCAAAAUAAGCUGCUCGGUUAGAAAGUGCCGACCAAAGACAGCGCCGAGGCGCUCUGCUAGAAGGUGCUCGCCUAAAG
rnacentral:lncRNA from 1 species